rnacentral:rRNA from 1 species
AUGGGGACUCCACACAGCAAGCCAACGGAACAGACGACAUCAUCGCCGAUACCUCCAGGUAUAUGUUCACCAAGUCAAACACCAUCCCAGGAAACUGAAUGUGUUGCAGGCCCGAGAGAGGGGACAAGUGUUGACGACUCUAACGAACGGAUUAUACCCGUAGCCGACGUUGUUGACAUGAUGUACCCAUGUAGUCCAGGAGUCCAUAUUACUCCCUACGAACGGAUGAUACUUCAGACCGAUGGCGAUAGCACAUGUGAUACUCCAGAUCAACCAUCCUCUAUGGACCUUCAUGAAAAAAGAGAGCUAAUGAAAGCUCGGAGGCGAGCUGCUUAUAGAAAGAAAAAAGAGAAGGCUACCGUCAAGCAACAAGAUGAAAAAUUGUCUGCCCUUACGAUAUCAGAUAUGCAAAAUGUUCCCAUGUUACCUCUCGGUGAUAUCACUAAGGUGUGUCAACCAACCUCGGUGGACCUUGACGAGAAAAAAGAGCUAACAAAUGCUCGAAGGCGAGCGGGUUAUCGAAAGAAAAAAGAGGAGGCAGCCAGCAAGCAACAAGAUGAAAAUCUGCCUGCGAUUACGAAAUCAGUUAUGCUAAAUGUUCCCCAAUUACCUCUCGGUGAUAUCACUAAUGUGUGCCAACCAUCCUCGAUGGACCUUGACGAGAAAAAGGAGCAAAUAAAGGCUCGGAGGAGAGCUGCUUAUCGAAAGAAAAAAGAGGAGGCAGCCAGCAAGCAACUAGAUGAAAAUCAGCCUGCCCUUACGAUAUUGGGUGCAUACCUAAGCAGAACCUUUGGUGAUGGUGCUGUAGAUGGCGACCUCAUCGAAAUCAAUGAGCACCUACAAAAUGCCGACCAGCAAACCAGUGAUCCGGUAACAAAGGCAGAUAAUGGAGCGGACGAGCAGAGUCAUGAGUCCAAAGCUCGGCGUGGGACGAGAGAGCGAGCUUGCAAGGGAAGUAUGGCGGCGAAGACGCGUCAGGUGAAAAUUGGGAAGCAAAAAACAUGUUCGAAGGUACCACAUGGUGAGAGGAAUGCUCUACGCGACCGGCGUAAUGAAAGGUUUGCAGGUAGGGUGAUGACACCAACCGUCAGGUCCAUCUCCAUACCGGAAAUGAGCUCAACUGGACAACCUACCGUACUGGAAGCACACGGUGCCUCGACCCCAUCUAGCACGCCGGAGUACACGAUCAGAAGUGAAGACGACAUGGACGCUUACCUUAGUCGUCUCAUGAAUGAUAAUGUCAACCCUGACAUCCUCUUUGACGAUGAGUAUUACCUUUUUGCUGGUGAAGGCUCAGAUGUUGAUGACAUGGAGCACGACGAAUUGGAAGACUCAAGUCAAAAUACAUAUGUCGACCAUGAUCCAUUGGACUAUGUCUACUCAAACCUCCCGGACCACACACACAUCCUGAAGCACGCCGCAAAUUGCCAUCACUGCAAGGCCAAGAAGUUUGUGUCCGAGGCCCCGGGAUUCUGUUGUCGCAGUGGGCAGAUCCAGCUGAAGCAACCGGAUCCCAUCCCGGAGCUAAUGAGGCUUUGGUCUAGCAUGGAUGCGGACUCAAGGCAUUUUCGGGAGAACAUACGGUUCUUCAACGGCCACUUCUCCUUCACAACCCUCGGCAUCAGCCUUGAUGAAAGCUACACAAACAUGAAGUCUGGGCUGUACACGUUCCGUGCGCACGGCACCAUCUACCACAACGUUCAUUCCUUUGGGCCAACAUCACGUCCAGAUCAUCUACAGCUGUACUUCUACGACGAUGACCCGGGCCUAACCCAUCGCAAGGCUGCCACCGAGCAAUUAGACUAG